GAUGAACGCUAGCUACAGGCUUAACACAUGCAAGUCGAGGGGCAUCGAGAAGAAAGCUUGCUUUCUUUGUCGGCGACCGGCGCACGGGUGAGUAACGCGUAUCCAACCUUCCCCGCAGUAGGGCAUAGCCCGGCGAAAGUCGGAUUAAUACCCUAUGUUCUCCUUAGCAGGCAUCUAACGAGGAGCAAAGAUUUAUCGCUGUGGGAUGGGGAUGCGUCUGAUUAGCUUGAUGGCGGGGUAACGGCCCACCAUGGCAACGAUCAGUAGGGGUUCUGAGAGGAAGGUCCCCCACACUGGUACUGAGACACGGACCAGACUCC
rnacentral:rRNA from 1 species